rnacentral:lncRNA from 1 species
UCAAAUGUCCAUUUCCAUUUCAAACCUGCUACAUGCAUAGAAAAUUAUUGUUAGAAGUCCACCAAAAGACACUUGGUAGCAAUCUAUUGGAUAAUGGUAAAAACGGGGAAACAAACAAACAAAAACGUGAACCAAGUGUAAGCAUUUGGUGGAUUUCUGGCAAUUCCUUUAGUUAAAUAUAUAAUAAGAAAUUUUUUUAAAUUAAAUUGCAUUCAAAAGUUUAAGUAGUCAAACAUCAUACAAAGUACCUCUCAUCCUCAUCGUCAAAUUAAAAUGUUCCCAGCCACGAUCCGGUGCUCACGUGGGACCAUCGGUCCACAUCCAGCCGCUGUCCUGUCUGGAUUCAUGCUGUCAAUUUGGCCUACCUGGUAUCCUCUCUUGUACCAUUUCCUCCGGUUCUCUCCAGUUUCCCUGUAGUCGCAUCUGGUUAUUCAGCACUUUCCUUGAGCUCUAUUUUGUAUAAUGCACCUUUAACUCAAUUGAUUACAGCCCAACGAAUGAUGUAUUAAGAAAAAAAUAGCAGCGACAGUCCAUAAUCUAUUAUUCUCAUUGCAUUCUCACACUCAACCUUUGAAACAAAACAUUUUGCUCCCAACCUUCUAAUUUUUGCUGCACCAAUAAUAUAUCUCUCUCUCACUCUCUCUCUUUCAUUUGAGUACUUAUAUAGAGCUUAUUUGGUGAGAGAUUUUGUUAAUUGAUUUUUUGACCGUUAGAUAUAAAAUGGGUCUUACCUGUGAAAGAAGAAUUCAAAAAUGACGACAAGAAUAGUGAAAUAACGAUCAAAAAAUUAAUUUUAAUUUACUUAACAUCCCUACCAAAGAAACGCAUAGGAAGAAUGACAAUGAGAAAACAAUUUCUGAGGUCUAAUAAAACUCACUCCAAUCAUGUCUGCAAUAAGGAGAGGAUUAAUAGAGUUGAAUGAUUUUUCUUAACAGUCAUAUAUUCAUCUUGCAUUUUUCUUGAGUUAGCGAGGUGUUUUGCUCAACUAUUGCACUUAAGUAGCACCAAUUAUCUCAAAAGAUGAUUUUAUGUCAAAAUUACCUUUCAAUGACAUGUAAGGCAUGUCCUUUUUUUGGGAUAAAUUAAAAUUUACUUAGCUAAAAUUAAAGAAAACAAAACUAAUGGAAAAAAAAAAAAGAAAAAAAAACCAUUGAUAGUGUGAAGUAAAUGUGUUAUUUGAAGAUUAAUUUAUUGCUUGUUUGGGAGCGAUUUUUGCCCCAAAAAAUUGAUUUUUGAUCGUUAUUUCACUAUUAUAACCGUCAUAUUUGACUUCUUCUCUCACUAAUAGACCUCACUUUUUUCCUAAUGGUCAAAAAAUCAAUUCUCAAAAUCACUUUCAAACAGGCUCUUAGACAAAUAUCAUGUGCCAAGCACAUAGGUACAACAAAAAUCACAGAUUAGUGUUUCUUUAAAAUGUUAACGAUAAAAACAUAAUAAAAAUAAUAGAUUGGGUACCUGACUUGUAAUUUUAGAAGAAUCUCGCCUCCUUGUCCUCUUCUCAUAGCGACAUACCUCCAUUCUCUGUGUGUGCGUCUCUGUUCUCUAUUCAUUUCCAUCCGUUCCUUCCCUCUUUCAUCCCUCGACGUUCUCUGCAAAACACACACAAAAUUCACGCACAAAAAUGAGAGAAAUCUUACACAUUCAGGGAGGUCAGUGCGGUAACCAAAUCGGGUCCAAAUUCUGGGAGGUGAUCUGCGGCGAGCAUGGGAUUGGACCCACGGGUCAGUUCCAGGGUGAUGAAUCCUCCGAUU